CCGUCCGUGCGUCCCUUUCCACGGGAGCGGCCGCCAAGGCGUCAGUUCCUCGGAGCGCGUUAGCCGGGAGGUUACAUAACGCGUCGCUCCGGGAGCGAUGCUGCAGCGUUACCUCCCGUCCGCUCACGGUAAACCCGAGCACGGCCACGGGGGCGGCGGGGAUGAAGUAGGACUUCUUCUUCCGAGUCACUUUCCUCGGGGCGAACACGGUCCGCAACCCCGCGGCGGGCCGGGGCAGAGCCCGCAGCUCCAGCCGGGGUGACCCACCCUCAGCCCGACCCCGCGCCGGCAGAAACCGCAGCGCGGCCGGCGGCAGGGCUGCGGCCCCGGGACCCUCCCCCCACGCCCAACUUCGCCAAAGCGGCCGUCCGGUCUGGCCCUGCCCCGCUCCCUCCCCACCCGGCGGGACCCCGAUACCGGACCGUCGGCCGGCGCCGCCGCGCCUUCCCGGCAGCAGGAAAUUAAAACUCCUCACACAGUGAGUUUAGUCCACUGCCAAGCCCCUGUGAGCAGUCCUCAUCCAGAAGGAAGUGAGGGGUUCAGAGGAACCAGUCUGGAGAAAUGAGAAGCUCACAGAAGUCGAAUAGCUUGACAGAGAUGCAUCUGAAACAAGGAAUGCUGGAACUGGAAUGAUCUUUUGAAUAUGCAUAAACUAAAAAGGGAAAAACCAAAUGGGAAAAAAAAAAAAGAAAAAAAGUGUGGCUAGCAUCAUGUAGAGAUGGAUUUUCUAUUCCACAGAAACUAAUUUGCCUCCAAUGCAAAUUCUCUGUUGAAAGGAUGUGCCUACACUGCAGCUGAAAUGCUUCAGACAUAGGUUAUGUGGGUACUAAAGCAGUAUGGGCAGUAAAAUAACAGUAACAGUAAAAAUUUAAAUCCCGGAGACUAUAACAAAUGUAAUCAAGGCCUCUGUGUCAAAUUCAGAAACACCUGGUUUCUUGGUAUUUAGGUUUGUAUUUUAAUAAAUGAGUUGACAACA